rnacentral:antisense_RNA from 1 species
UUUUAUGGUGGCUGUACGCGGGAGGGCUUAGGCCCUGCCGGGGUUUCCUGCGUUGAUCCGGUUCGCCAACCCGCGUACAGCUGCCACCUAA